CAGGUUUCACCUACUGCGGUGAAAUACACUGCAGGUCCGCGUAGGUUUGGCCGCUGGCCGUCCAGUAGUCCUCCCACCUGGGGGUACAGGGGUGCGGGGGGGGGCACCCAGUGAAGGAGGCAGGCAGCUGGGGCAGCCUGCUGUGCUGGGGGAGAGGAGGAGGGAGCCCUGGAGGACAGGCAGAAGGACCAUCGAAGGAGAAACCCUGCUGGCCUUGGGACCUGGAGGAAAAACCAGGGCCCGUGCUCCUGGUGCCGGGAUCCGGCAAUUGGACGGAACCUCUCGGAUUCCCCGGUGCUGUGAAAUCCACUUGGGGCCAUCAUACCCUUCGUUGCCGUGUUCCCUGGCAGGACUCGAAUGCAGGAUGUCUUAGAGGAUAAAAAUGAGCGGGCAGAUGAAGAGAUACUCAGGGCGAGGUUCAGAAAAGUGCACCGAGCCCACCUCAUGGAUGUGAGAAAGAAAAGUGGCUCAGAGCAGCCUGGGAAACGUGAGCUGGCACCAGGGAACGACAGUCUCCCAGCAGAGAGCAAACACCUGAAACGUGAUCAGCCGCUUCCCAGUACGAUCUCCGGAGCUGGGUGAGCGGGCCGGAGCAGGCCCACUAAGAAGCAAAAUGGCGGAGUUUAACUGGUCUGUGGCCUUCAAGGGAUCUGCAGCUGGUCAUGAAGAGCAUCUCAAGUGAGCACAAGCACAGCUCCAGCCAACGCACCACACACG